GACGUAGGGCGCGAGCGUUGUCCGGAUUUAUUGGGCGUAAAGAGCUCGUAGGCGGCUUGUCGCGUCGUCCGUGAAAACCUGCAGCUCAACUGCAGGCUUGCGGUCGAUACGGGCAGGCUAGAGUUCGGUAGGGGAGACUGGAAUUCCUGGUGUAGCGGUGAAAUGCGCAGAUAUCAGGAGGAACACCGGUGGCGAAGGCGGGUCUCUGGGGCCGAUACUGACGUGAGGAGCGAAAGCGUGGGGAGCGAACAGG
rnacentral:rRNA from 1 species